rnacentral:tRNA from 1 species
GGGCCUGUAGCUCAGCUGGGAGAGCGCUACACUGGCAGUGUAGAGGUCGGGGGUUCGAGCCCCCCCAGGUCCACCA